rnacentral:rRNA from 1 species
CCCCUAGAUGUUCUGGGCCGCACGCGCGCUACACUGACUACUUCAACGAGUUGUUUCCUUGAUCGAAAGGUCUGGGUAAUCUUUGAAAGGUAGUCGUGAUGGGGAUAGAUCCUUGCAAUUUUUGAUCUUCAACGAGGAAUUCCUAGUAAACGCAAGUCAUCAGCUUGCAUUGAUUACGUCCCUGCCCUUUGUACACACCGCCCGUCGCACCUACCGAUUGAAUGGUCCGGUGAAUCUUUAGGACUGUGGCUGAGGCCUUGCCUUGUGCGGGUCUGGCCGUGGGAAUUUAGUUAAACCUUACCAUUUAGAGGAAGGUGAAGUCGUAACA